UACGGAGGGGGCUAGCGUUGUUCGGAAUUACUGGGCGUAAAGAGCUCGUAGGCGGUUUGUUGCGUCGGCUGUGAAAUCCCGAGGCUCAACCUCGGGUCUGCAGUCGAUACGAGCAAACUAGAGUGUUGCAGGGGAGACUGGAAUUCCUGGUGUAGCGGUGGAAAUGCGCAGAUAUCAGGAGGAACACCGGUGGCGAAGGCGGGUCUCUGGGCCGAUACUGACGCUGAGGAGCGAAAGCGUGGGGAGCGAACAGG
rnacentral:rRNA from 1 species